AGCAGCCGCGGUAAUUCCAGCUCCAAUAGCGUAUAUUAAAGUUGUUGCAGUUAAAAAGCUCGUAGUUGAAUUUCGGGAUCAAUAUGUUGGUCGUGCCUCGGUACGUACUGGCAUUAUUGGUUUCUACCUUCUGAAGAACCUCGAUGUCAUUAAUUUGGUGUCUUGGGGAAUCAGGACUGUUACUUUGAAAAAAUUAGAGUGUUUAAAGCAGGCUCACGCUUGAAUACAUUAGCAUGGAAUAAUGAAAUAGGACGUUUGAUUCUAUUUUGUUGGUUUCUAGGAUUGACGUAAUGAUUAAUAGGGAUAGUUGGGGGCAUUAGUAUUCAAUUGUCAGAGGUGAAAUUCUUGGAUUUAUUGAAGACUGACUACUGCGAAAGCAUUUGCCAAGGAUGUUUUCAUUAAUCAAGAACGAAAGUUAGGGGAUCGAAGACGAUCAGAUACCGUCGUAGUCUUAACCAUAAACUAUGCCGACUAGGGAUCGGAUGAUGUUAAUUUUUUAAUGACUCAUUCGGCGCCUUACG
rnacentral:rRNA from 1 species